rnacentral:snoRNA from 1 species
AGGGUGUGCUCCGAGCAGACAGCUUUAAGAAUGGCUUCUCUGUUUACAACACAUCCGAGAGCAAUCCUCACAGGU